ensembl:ncRNA lncRNA:CR46014 long non-coding RNA:CR46014
GCGUAUAUUAUAGUAGCUCAUACUAAAAAACCCCAAAAGGGGGAGGUUCGCAUGUAAUUACGUGCACACGGACACAUACACAGCUACAGAUACAGAUACUUCGACAGCGACUGACAUAUGUGAGCAGUGGCUGACCUUUGACAUGCGCUCUCGAAAUACAUUUCGAGUGGAGCACAAACACAUGGGCCCUGCCACUUUCACCACCCACCACCCACCACCCUCCAUCGCCCAAUUCCACUCCAUUCGAUUCAGUACACCUACUUUGGCUUUUUGUGGCCAAGCGAACCCUUAACAGCUUUGUGGCUCGCAUGUCAAAGGGGCUUCCAUGG